UCCCAUAUGGCCUAGAGGUUAUGACUCCUGAUUUUCACCCAGGCGGGCUGGGUUCAACUCCUGGCAUGGUCA